GACGAACGCUGGCGGCGUGCUUAACACAUGCAAGUCGAACGGAAAGGCCCUGCUUUUGUGGGGUGCUCGAGUGGCGAACGGGUGAGUAACACGUGAGUAACCUGCCCUUGACCUUGGGAUAACUUCAGGAAACUGGGGCUAAUACCGGAUAGGAGCUCCUGCUGCAUGGUGGGGGUUGGAAAGUUUCGGCGGUUGGGGAUGGACUCGCGGCUUAUCAGCUUGUUGGUGGGGUAGUGGCUUACCAAGGCUUUGACGGGUAGCCGGCCUGAGAGGGUGACCGGCCACAUUGGGCCUGCGAUACGGCCCAGACUCCUACGGGAGGCAGCAGUGGAGAAUAUUGCACAAUGGGCGGAAGCCUGAUGCAGCAACGCCGCGUGCGGGAUGACGGCCUUCGGGUUGUAAACCGCUUUCGCCUGUGACGAAGCGUGAGUGACGGUAAUGGGUAAAGAAGCACCGGCUAACUACGUG
rnacentral:rRNA from 1 species